rnacentral:rRNA from 1 species
GUGUCAGCCGCCGCGGUAAUACGUAGGGGGCAAGCGUUGUCCGGAUUUAUUGGGCGUAAAGAGCGUGUAGGCGGCCAGUCAGGUCCGUUGUGAAAACUCGAGGCUCAACCUCGAGACGCCGAUGGAAACCGACUGGCUAGAGUCCGGAAGAGGAGAGUGGAAUUCCCGGUGUAGCGGUGAAAUGCGCAGAUAUCGGGAAGAACACCCGUGGCUAAGGCGGCUCUCUAGUACGGUACUGACGCUGAGACGCGAAAGCGUGGGGAGCGAACAGGAUUAGAUACCCCAGUAGUCC